UGCUAAGGAAGGGCAUAAGAGAGAGGG
rnacentral:piRNA from 1 species